ensembl:lncRNA
UGUGAGGUGCACUUUGCCAAAGUUUAGCCAAAAGCUCAAUGACAGGUCAAAAGGAUGAGACCUAUGAUUGUUUUUUAACAAGUCAGACUAUGGUAUAGGAAAUUUUGCAUAAUUUUAUUUAGUUAAUUUAGUUUAUUUUAGUUACAUUUAUUAUUUUUAUUCACACCUUGAUUUUUCAAGCCUCAACACAAACAUACACUGCAAAUGCACAUAAGUACACAAAUAUACAAAUAAACAAACUAGGUCACAAACACACACACAUGCAUUUAUGAGACAUACCUAAUACAAACAAGAGAAUUGAGAUCUUUUAUUUCCGAUGUAAGACAGAAGAACUUCAAAUGCAAAUAUCUACCCCGCUGAGAUGAAAGGUCGUGUCUACGCGCCAGGGUAUGUAACAAAGACCAGACAGUCUCUGGCGUAGAUCACGCUAGUAAUAUCACCCCCAGUUAAGUUGUAAAAGAAAAAAAUCUAAAAGAUGUUUCAUCUGUUGUUGCAUGUGCAUAAAUCAACGUUAUACAUUUAUGAGUAUUAAAGAUUUAUGGUAUUAGGGUACCCCCUACGGAUGGUUGUCGGAUUUUACGUGGUGUUCUCAAGUGCCGCCCCACACACCAAGUCCCGUUAAAAACCAAAAGUUUUGUUACGCUCAUUACCUGUAAAAUCUAUCUUCAAGUAGUGCUACGCUGAGAUCUCAACAAUAGAUGAAACAAUGGCUGACAAUUACCAGGGUAAGUGUUUUUCAUCUGAGUUAUUUAAAUAUAUUUUAAUGUGAAUAUAUGUUUAAUGUCUCUUGGUUAUAAUCUCUAGCUGGUUUUGAGAAUCAGGAUUUCAGUGAUGGUUUGGAACAGAUCCUUGAAGAGAUGUGUAAGUAUUUCCUCCUUUAAACUAUUCAAUGUCUAAUAAUAGCGACAAUAACUUUAUCAUUUUACCCAGAUGACCAGGCGGAGCUAUUUGCAUGUGAUGAUGAUGGCACUGUUAAUAACGGUGAGCACAUUGUUUCUGACAGUCACGUGGUGAUAUUACCUACAGAGGGCACGUUACAAGAGGUUGUGGUUAGCUUGGAAUCACAUCACAAACUAAACAACGUCACAAAUCCCACCCCCACCCACGUUCCGUCUUCAGAGGAACAGUCUCACAAGCUCCCAGACUGAGCGAGUGUUCACACCACAGGUACGUCCAGGCCCCGACACUCAGAGGGUCAGGGUGUAACUCGUUUGAGGUUACCAGAGCAGGAAA